CAUAUCUUAUAUGCAUACUGUCAGUCAUUCCAACAAGUUGACUUAGCCCAUGACUUAGCGCUCAGUCAAUUUCCAUCCAUUAGAUCCUCAUGCUGUCAAAAGCCUAAAACUCAUGUUUGAAGAGCACACAUAGUGGAAUAUAAAUGUGCCGAGAUAAGUAUCUUUUCUGAAUCUCGCAAUUUUGGUGGUGUACCUUGCAACAGCCUGUUUGUUGUU